rnacentral:rRNA from 2 species
AAACUUUCAACAACGGAUCUCUUGGCUCUGGCAUCGAUGAAGAACGCAGCGAAAUGCGAUAAGUAAUGUGAAUUGCAGAAUUCAGUGAACCAUCGAAUCUUUGAACGCACAUUGCGCCCGCUGGGAUUCCGGCGGGCAUGCCUGUUCGAGCGUCAUUU